UACGUAGGGUGCAAGCGUUAAUCGGAAUUACUGGGCGUAAAGCGUGCGCAGGCGGUUAUGCAAGACAGAUGUGAAAUCCCCGGGCUUAACCUGGGAACCGCAUUUGUGACUGCAUAGCUGGAGUACGGCAGAGGGGGAUGGAAUUCCGCGUGUAGCAGUGAAAUGCGUAGAGAUCCGGAGGAACACCAGCGGCGAAGGCGGCAUCCUGGACUGGUCCUGACACUCAUGAGCGAAAGCGUGGGGAGCGAUCCGG
rnacentral:rRNA from 1 species